rnacentral:rRNA from 1 species
AACGAACGCUGGCGGCAUGCCUAACACAUGCAAGUCGAACGAGACCUUCGGGCCUAGUGGCGCACGGGUGCGUAACGCGUGGGAACCUGCCCUUAGGUUCGGAAUAACUCCCCGAAAGGGGUGCUAAUACCGGAUAAUGUCUUCGGACCAAAGAUCUAUCGCCUUUGGAUGGGCCCGCGUUGGAUUAGCUAGUUGGUAGGGUAAAAGCCUACCAAGGCCACGAUGCAUAGCUGGUCUGAGAGGAUGAUCAGCCACACUGGGGCUGAGACACGGCCCAGACUCCUACGGAAGGCAGCAGUGGGGAAUAUUGGGCACUGGGCGAAAGCCUGAUCCAGCAAUGCCGCGUGAGUGAUGAAGGCCUUAGGGUUGUAAAGCUCUUUUACCCGGGAUGAUAAUGACAGUACCGGGAGAAUAAGCUCCGGCUAACUCCGUG